GACGAACGCUGGCGGCGUGCUUAACACAUGCAAGUCGAACGGAAAGGUCCUGCUUUUGUGGGGUGCUCGAGUGGCGAACGGGUGAGCAACACGUGAGUAACCUGCCCUUGACUUUGGGAUAACUUCAGGAAACUGGGGCUAAUACCGGAUAGGAGCUCCUGCUGCAUGGUGGGGGUUGGAAAGUUUCGGCGGUUGGGGAUGGACUCGCGGCUUAUCAGCUUGUUGGUGGGGUAGUGGCUUACCAAGGCUUUGACGGGUAGCCGGCCUGAGAGGGUGACCGGCCACAUUGGGACUGAGAUACGGCCCAGACUCCUACGGGAGGCAGCAGUGGGGAAUAUUGCACAAUGGGCGGAAGCCUGAUGCAGCAACGCCGCGUGCGGGAUGACGGCCUUCGGGUUGUAAACCGCUUUCGCCUGUGACGAAGCGUGAGUGACGGUAAUGGGUAAAGAAGCACCGGCUAACUACGUG
rnacentral:rRNA from 1 species